UACGAAGGACCCGAGCGUUAUCCGGAUUUAUUGGGUUUAAAGGGUGCGUAGGCGGAUUAGUAAGUCAGUGGUGAAAGCCCAUCGCUCAACGGUGGAAUUGCCAUUGAUACUGCUAGUCUUGAGUAUGGUUGAGGUGGGCGGAAUGUGUCAUGUAGCGGUGAAAUGCUUAGAUAUGACCCAGAACACCAAUUGCGAAGGCAGCUCGCUAAACCAUAACUGACGCUGAUGCACGAAAGCGUGGGGAGCAAACAGG
rnacentral:rRNA from 1 species